CGCAAACAGUUUCUAUUGCGUCAUCAGAGGGUCAUUUACAGACAAUGUUUCCAACUUAGUGCCUUGGUUGCUGGAUUUACCAACUUUUCACACCCCUUUGUGUCCAUGUUAAAAGUCAUCAGUGUCCAGAAUUCAGACCACACUAAUGUGGUGAAUUUCUUUGGGUGGUUUGAACAUACGGGACAGACCUGUCUUCAAAUUUGAGAUGCUGGACUGGGGUCUGUAUGUGCUGCUCCAAGAACGACACUUCAAGCCUAUGUCUCUGAACAACUACGGCUGAUGCAAAGCAGCUGUUGGUGGCCUUGGACGCCCUGAAGGGUCUUGGUAUCUUGAAUACCCAUAUCAAACCAGACAAUGUUAUGCUUGUUAACAAGCAGGACAAACCCCUCAGGUUCAAAUUAAUAGACGUUUGCAAAGCCAUUCCAGCCUCCAAAGUCCACCCUUGGCUGGAGCUUCAGCAGACCGGGUAUAGGUGGGUUCAUCCUGCACAGUUAAGUAUCUUUUAAUCUAGCAGAGCUGGUUUCAUUAUUCUAAGAAGUCAUAUUAUCCUCUUGGUCCGGCAUAUUCUGUCUGCAGAUGAAGUGCAUGGUUGAGGUUCUGGGUCAGCUGGAGGACCACCUGCUUCAUGCUGGGAAAUAUACCCAGUACUUUUUCAGUGAGGAGGCUGACAGUCUAACAUGGAACCUGAUGCUAGAGGAACCAUGUUCUUCUUUGUUUGAGUUUGUUAAAUCAUUUUAUUUGAGCUCUUUUAAAACAGUUCUCAUAUAUAUUUUGUGCCCUCAGAAACCAGUAGAAUAGACAGCUGGCAAAAAGGUGAAACUACAAGAGCAGGAUAGCUUCAUUGAGCUCUAUGGAUGACCUCAUUGAUGAAGGCACUCUCUACUUUGUUUUACAAGUAAAGACUGAAUCAGUACCAGGUAUUCACCUGUUUCUGAGAGGUAGGAGCUGGGUCAGCUGACCUGAAUCUGUUUCCAAAUCCCAAUGUCCCACCUGACGGAGCACCUUGACAGCAGAGCCUGGUGGUUGACCAUGUGUCUUUUCACACUGGUAGUAGAUAACACAAUAAGUUUGAUGGACUGAUGGCUUUAUUAAUGGAUUGACGGAUUCACUAAUUGAUUGUCAUACUUCAUCCAGUCUCACCACCUCCCAAGCUAUGAUGAACGUCUGCCCAAUGGAAGACUCAGCAGACACGGUAAACACCUCUGCAGCCUCAGCCACUGGGUUCCGUACUGGAGGACUACCCUCUGUCUCCAAAGAUGAUGCUCCAGCCAUCAGAUCAUUUGAUGGAACGAAAGCUACUGUCUCCCAUGAUGAUGGUCCCACCACUGGGUAAUCUGAUGGAGUUCCAUUCACUUCCUCUUAUGACGAAGAUCCAGGUGCUUGGUCUUCUGAUGGAGCUCAAGCCAAAGACUCAAAGAUUACUAUGAAGAUUCACCAGCUCUUGGGACAUCUGAUGCAGGACUACUUUCUGUCUUAUGAUGAAGAUCCAGCCGUCUGGCCUUCUGACAGAGGACUACCCUCCUGCUCCUUUGAAGAUCCAGCUUCCUGGUCUUCUGAUAAAUAAUUAGUUAGUGACUUGAAUAUUUAGUCAUAUUUAGUAUGUGUAAAUGUAGUUGUAAUAUCAGCAACUGUCUUGGAUUUUUAUAAACAUUUUUUAAAAUAAAUAA